rnacentral:rRNA from 1 species
GAUGAACGCUGACAGAAUGCUUAACACAUGCAAGUCAACUUGUGGCGUACGGGUGAGUAACUCGUAAAGAACUUGCCUCACGGAUAGGGACAACAUUUGGAAACGAAUGCUAAUACCUGAUACUGUGAGAGAGCUUUGCGUCCCAUUAGCUAGUUGGAGAGUUAACGGCUCACCAAGGCGAUGAUGGGUAGCCGGCCUGAGAUGGUGAUCGGCCACAAGGGGACUGAGACACGGCCCUUACUCCUACGGGAGGCAGCAGUGGGGAAGAUUGGACAAUGGACCAAAGUCUGAUCCAGCAAUUCUGUGGGCACGAUGAAGUUUUCGGAAUGUAAAGUGCUUUCAGUUGGGAAGCGGGACAAAAAGAAGAAGUGACGGCUAAAUACGUGCCAGCAGCCGCGGUAAUAG